GUGUGUGUGUGUAUGUGUGUGAUGUAGUGGCACUUAAGCAGUCAUGAAUUUGGGAGUAGGGUAUGAGAGAGAAGUAGAAGAGGCAAGAGGGGUACCAAUGUCAGCAGUAGUCAUGUAUAAUGUUCUCCAAAAGUUAACAUUUAGCAAGAAAAGAUGACGUUUCUAGUAUAUUCUUCUAGAUUUUAUUCCAUUUUAUGGAUAGAGGAGACUAUGGGACAUAGGAAAUACGGCGAGAAGAACUGCUCAGCCUGAUGCAGAGUCCAGGCGCACUCCUUCUUCCUAAGUUGCACAUGGUUGCUGCAACACUGUCCUUAUUCUAUGCAGUAAUGCGUUUCAGCCUUGGUUAAACAUCACAGGAUGAUUUACUGUAUCAAACUUGAGGUUGUAAAAAUAGGACAGGAUUUGCUUGUUGUGCUAUUUCCGGCAUCUCUGGGCUCUCGAGGCCCACUGGCACUGUGUCAGUCCUCGCAGACACAAGUUCUGAGGCACAGCUCACACACAUCUGGUGACUAAAUGUGUCUGACUACAACUCGAGCACAUGCGCUCCUUCACACACCGGGCUUCAGUGUUUCUAUGGGGCUCUUUCUUCUCUAUGCAGCUUAAAUACUUUUUUCCUUAACGGCCAUAAAAGUAAAAUGGGGGCCUAGUUGUUCAUUCUGCUUUCUUGGCUGUCGUGUGAGAGUGAAAUCAUCUGAAAUGUAUUUUCUGGCUCUGUACACUGCAAGUCUAAGAAGAAUGGCUAACAUAGAAGCAAUGAACUGUUAGAUUCCUCUCCAUGAGAGUAAGCAAGACUCCUUGCCCCAAUUACUGCCUCCAUGGCCGUGACAGGAGGGGCAUAAGAUGGGUGAGGAAUAUACUGUACUAGAAAAUAGAGUUGGCCAUGACUGGAGUCAGAAAGAUCCGGAGUCAGCUGGAGAGUUUCCCAGUAGCCAAAGAAGAGCUAAUCCAAACAAGUGCUGAUGAAGCUAAUCCAGACUUUUGGUAUCAAGAUUAAAGCCUACUCUUGAAGGAAUGACUCUAAGAAAUCCAAGCUCUCAAAGAAGUUUGACCUCAAAAGGACAUUUGUGGGACAAGGUAAAAGAGAGGGCUAAAUGCUCAACAGAGACAUGUGUGGGUGUUCAGAGGAUACCGAGACUGACAAAUGCCUUCACAGGAAAAUAUCCAAAGAUUCCUUAAGUGUGCUAGUAAAAUCAGCUCAUGGGGUCUGUGAUACAGAGGCCAGAGAACACAAUGCAUGGGAAGGCAAUGGCUACUACUCUAACAUAAAUAAAGGUGCCCUUCUACCUCAGGGACAUUGUCUUUCACGGAGAACUACUACUAUACACACAGACACACUAUAUGGAUCAUGAAGAAAUUGAGGGAAAAAGAGUAGAAAGAUUAUUGGCUUUGGAGUUCAAUACCUGGGCUGGAAGUCUAGUAUGGCCCUGUGACUAUGGACAAGUCAGACUCCUGUGGCCCUAGGGGUCUUGCCUUUGAACCAGACAAACCACAUCCUCACUGAACUUCCAUGCAGCCUUGAUAAAGUAAUGAAUAUGAAACAGCAUGCUAAACUUGUGAGAGCAUUUUACAAAUAUUUAACUAGAAAUAUUCUGUACUAUGUACAUAUUUAAAUGGUUGUUAUAUCUAUCUAUAAGACAGAAUGCUGAAGAAAAACUCCAGGCUGGGAAAAAACUCAAAUAUGCUAAUUAUCUUACAUAAACCUAUCAUAUUAUUCAUUGUGGAGUUUAAAUAUCGGCUGUGCUUUUGUGCUAUGAAAAAGAUGCAUCUUUAAAUUUAAAAAAAUGAACAAUCUAUGUUUAACAUCAUCUUCUGAUGCUAUUCUUAUCUUCUAGUUUGAAGGAUGUGAAAAGGUGUAUCGAAUUCUUCACUUUAUUUUUUGAAACACUUGCCUCACAUAAAUUUCUUCAUGCCUGCUUUACUUUCAUGAUUUACUAGCUGAAAUUAAAGAACAGGGGCAAAGAGGGAGACACAAGGGAGAAGUCCUUAAGCAAUCCAAGAUGUUGAAUCUAAAAGCUAAUAAUACACCAAGGGCAAAGACGAGGGCGCCUGGCCUGGGAAGCCCACUCUUGGUCUGGCUUCACGUCACAACUGUUAGCCAGCCCUUUAAUUUUUGAAGAGAAGACUUGUUUUUAAAAAGGAAAGAAGAAAAGGAGCAAAGAUAGUUCUUUCUACAGAGAAUUAAAAGCAGACGGAGGCCAAUAAAGUACCAACAAAACUUUAGCCGACAUAGCUUCAGUAUACUAACCAUUGGCUUUUCCUGGCAGGAUUUAGGGAGGAGGUUCAGGAUGCAGCCAUGAGCAGCAUGGAUGAAGAAGAUGUGGGAAUCUUUAAAAUUAGAGAUGCUCUCAUGUCUUCCUCUGAAACAGUUUGCAGUGGCCAGGAUAAAAUCCUAGUGAAUCCUAAGUUUUCUCCUCAGUCUUAGGAAACCCUGGUGGUAGAAGACAUGUCCUAUGCCUUCUCUUGGGCCUUAUGCUGACACAUACACAUCGUCAGAUGGAGGAAAGCCUGUGACAUGCAUGCAGAAAGAUGCCUGGUUUAGAAUCUAUAUAUUAUAUAUUUCAAUUUCUUGUAAACUUGAGCAUGAAGAGAAAUUAAUGAGAAUCUUACAUUUUAACCUAGAAGGGGGAGGGGAAGAACACUGUGAAGCCAAGUACAGCCAAGGCUGAAUUUGUAGCAGUAGACAAAUGUUAAGGACAAAAUUGGGGUUCACAAGUGUACAAAUACUCUGGGUUUAGAAUAUAAGAUCUGGAAGACUCCAUAUGAAAAAGGAGAGAACUGUGGAAGCUAGAAAAUAGAGCAGAGGCUGGCAAGAUGGUCCAGUGGGCAAAACAUGCAAGCUCAGAGUCCUGAGUUCAGAUACCCAGAACCCACGUAAAAGCUGGGUGGUUGUGGUGCCCGCUGCUAAUCCCAGGCAUAGCAGUUGAGGGAGGGGGCAGAGAUGGACUCCACAGAGCAAGCUGGCCAGCCAGACUAGCCAAACGGGUGAGCCUGGCAUCCCGAGAAAGAAUUUGGUUCAAUAGAUAAGGUCGAGAACAAUGGAGAAAGAUGAUCGACAUUAACUAUGAGCCUCUGUAUGCACAGGUAUGUGUACCUAAACAUGUGAACACACAUGGGGGGGGGAGGGAAGGAGGGAGGGAGGGAGAGAGAGAGAGAGAGAGAGAGAGAGAGAGAGAGAGAGAGAGAGAGAUAUCUGUAACAAAGACUUUCCAAAGUUGCUGGGAAGAUGAGAAGAUGGAGGCUCCCUUGCUGCACACUGCCCACUCCUGACACUCUAGUUCUUUCCUGGGUAAGGCUGUCUCCGUGUCUCCGUGUUUUCACUGGUACGAAACACAGAGCAUAUUUAUUCUAGGAUAAAACUGGGGCGAUAUGGGGAACAUCCUCUCUUUCCUUUCUCACCUUUCCCCUGUUUCGGUCUGAUUAUUGAGGUCCUCCUAGAACAGAGAAAGCUUUCAGAAGAUUGGUUCCCACCAUCUUUGCCAGUUUCACAGAGUGCCCCGUGGGCGCUGGCUGAUUUUUUUUUUUUUUUUGAUCCUUUCAUUCCCAAGUGACUUAACCUCCUCACAUGGCUCUCCCUGCUGAUGGCUUUCAAAAAUGACCUCAUCCCCCACCUCCUUCAUCCAGCUGUCCACAUGACAUCACUAUGCGACUCAGGUUCUCUGCCCCCACAGCCUGACUUCUCUAUUCCCUUAUUGUUAUUAAUAACAAAACAAAAUAAACAAUUCCCAAUUUUAUGCCACUAAAGAGAGAUUCUGUUAUUUUCUCUUUUAUUAAAUCUUAUCUGUUCUUUAAUCUCAUUAAUUCUCAUUAUUUUUCAUCUAAAUUGCUUUAAUGGCUAACACAUGGCACAAAAGUUAGAAGGCAUAUUGUGAGCCCUCAGCUUAGCCUUGUUUUUAUAUCUGCUCCUCUCAUAUCAUUCCCAACCUGACUCCAGCCCUGCAAGCAUCUGGCCUAGGAGCUAUUCCUGUAUGUGUCCCUCUUGCAUUUAAAAUGGGGAAAAUUAAAUGGGACAAGACUUUGAAUAAAAAUACUCACUAUUUAAAUAUUCGAGUAAAAAAUAUUUUUCUCUCCUAGCUUCUCUUCAGUUUCCCUGUUUGAGAAUUUGUCUUCAUUAUUUCACACUCAAUCUAUAGGCCUAUCACCUAUGUUUCUUCCUGCUCAUAUAUGAAAUAUUAUUUUCCAAGACUUUAGUCCUGGAUCAUCUCAGAGAAUAAAUAAAUACUCAUAAGGUACUCUGGGUGUUAAGUAUGACAGGGUUCUAUCCUUAGAGUUGAAGACAAAGUUUAUUAAAAUGAACAAAGUGCUGGGUGACUACAGACACCUAGCGGGAACUCUAUUUCCUCUGUUAUUUAGCAAUUCCAUUUAGAUCACCUUCAUAUGUGCUUAUAUUUUAGCAAGCUUUUGGUAGAAGCUGCACAGGUACGAUCCAUCUGAUUAUAUGAUCUCUCACAAUGGCCCUUUGUUUUGGCUAUUCUUCCCCAUACACCUUCCCCGAGCCCCUUCUCCCCCCACCCACCCUUGAUCCACACAUUCUAGCACCCCCCUCCACACACACACACACAUACAUCCACCCAUAUCUCUUCUCUUUCCUUUUCCUAGGGUGAUCCAUCCAAAUGAAGCCUCCCAUUCUGGGAAUGGGUUAUCGCUAAUCAAUUUGUUGGCCAAAGGAACCCCAUGGGAACCCCCAAAUAACCCAACCAAGACUACUGGUUGCUCUCCACAAACUGAUAGUAAACUUCUACUGCAGAAGACAACACCUACACAACUCAAUGAACAAGGACAAGGCGAGCUGGGGCCUGUGUGGAACCUUCAUUCCUACUGAAUAGUGUUCACAGUACUGAAGGUGCUCUGCAUUCUACCAGAGGAGAAAGCCAAACACCAACCCAGCUGUGGACUCUUUGAUCUACACUGUUGGAGAGCUUGUAGGAGCAACCAACCAGUAUCUGACUGGAUUUAAGGCCUACUGUAUGAGAGAGCCAUCCCUGAUACUCCUUAGAUGGCCAAGAACUUGAGACUAAAUAAGUCAGGAGCCUAAGGGAAAACCAGAGCAAACUACUACUGUUCUGCUAAAAAGAACACAGUAAUAAAAUGACUCCUACUGAUAUUGUGCCAUCUCCCCAAGUCAAGGUCUCACCGGCCAUCACUGCCUCUUUCUGCAGUAGAUGGGAACGAAUACAGAGACCUACAACUGGACAGUGUGCAGAGAGUAACGGAACUUGGAAUACUCAGUACUAAAUGGGAUGUCUCUGUCAAUUCCCUCCCCUCUAGGCUCAGCGAACCUUUCAGAAAAGGAAGCAGAAAGAUUUUAAGAGCCAGAGAGGACUGAGGACACCAAGGCAACAAGGCCUCCUAAACACAGCAGGACGGAUGCAUAUAUGAACUCACAGAGAUUUAUGGCAGCAGUUGCAUGGCCUUCACAGGUCUAAGCUCAAUGGGGUCUCAGCACUGAGGCAAAGGGGACAUCGGUCCACAUCCCUAACCCAGGGCUAUCUCCAGUUGAUAGCUUCUCACAAAUGAAUAAUUGGUUUUCUCCAAGGAAGUCGACCUGCAUAACCAAACCACUCUCGAGACCAUGCCCUGUGCUCAGCAGUGGAUGGCCAACACAAAACAAACUCAAAGGAUUUUGGGAGGUUCUUUGUCUCACAAUGCUUUGUCAAGACUUUCCCGUACCCCUUCAUAAGUCUUUUGAGGAUCUAUUAUGGUUUCUAAUUUUGCGUUUUUAAUGGAAUUUCUUUGUGUGGGAAGGUGGUGUCUCCACCAUGGAAGUGUUCCGUGGGCUUUUUCUUUUGUUCUGUUCUUUUGUUUGUUUGUUUUGUUUGGUCCUGUUCUGGUUUGUUUUUAUUUCACCUAAUUAUUAUUAUUUAGAUGUCUGGUUUUAUCCUAGUGAGAUAAAAAAAAGGGGGUGUCUGGAUUUGUGUGGGUGGAGAGUUGGGAGAGGGUGAAGGUGAGGGAGGAGAGAACAUGAUCAGAAUGUACUGUAUUAAAAAUAUUUCAUCUUCAAUAAAAAAGAAAAGAAAGACCAAAGCAUCCUUAAAUCUCUUUAUGCAAUUCAUCUGUCUUGAGAAAUAUCCCUUAUUUCAAUGUCAGCAGACACCAGUCAGGAGCCAGUGUCUAAAUGACAAUGGUUGUCUCACAAUCACAGCUGGGGUGAGAAUCUGAAAAGAUGGAUGGAGAGACAGAACGGUGGCUGAAUAAACAGAGCCAAUCAACUGUGAAGUGUUACCAAUUCCUAAAGUCAUAUUUCACAGGAUGGGAAUAACAUAGCUCAAUUAAUGAACAUGGAAAUUUCCGUUCAAAGAUAUGAUGAAGGGCUCAGAGGGCCCACUUCUUUUAGGGCUGCUCAAUACCACGUGACAUCUGUGGCCAUUUAGAUUUGGAGGUUCCUAUCAGUGUCCUCUACUCAUCUGCUUAACAAUCAGGCUGGAGGUGAGGCAGAAUUUGACAGCUGUGAUAAUUUUAUUAUACCUGGAACUUCUAAAAAAUAUGCUCAAAAGCACUGAUCAAGAUACAGAUCAGUAGUCUGAGCCUCCGCCCUCUCACUUCCCUGUUAGACAGAGACUAUUCUAACUCCCUAAGAACCAAGCAAUAAUCCAGAAUGUUUUUAAAGAAAUCCUAAUCUUCAGAAUGAAAAAUAACAGUUUUCUAUUCAGUCGCUCUUCUGAUAGAUUAAAUGAGAGUGUACGGACAGAUUUAGGACUCCAGACAUACAAUGAUUGUGAAUGUUACUGUCAGAGACCUGCAGAGACCUCCUAACUCCACAUCAGGGCUGGUCCUUCCUGCAUAAAUCUCACUGGGGAAGCUUUUCUGAGAAUUAACAGAUAACAAUUCAAUCAUUUUAGAAAGUACAAUUUAAAACUGUUUAUCAGUCCUCUAUGACAGAGAAAAUAGUGGGUUUUUUUCCUUUUUUUUUUUAAACAUCAAUUUUGCUGUAAUCUUUCUGGAAUAGUGACUUUCACUAGUCAUUUAUAAUCCCAGUUGGACACAAGAAUGACAAUCUAUAUACAUUACAUGUUAUUUCUACUACCACUGGAAGUUCUGUGGAAAAGAAUGGAUUCAGAGAAAACUCUUUUUAACUUGAAUAGAAGCAACUUACAGUUAUGUAAAGCUAUUGGGACUGAAGGCACAGUGGAUUUACUCUUCCUGUUUGAGAUUAAAUAAAACCCACAUUCUAUUUCAAGUAUCAAAAUAGAUUACCAUUAAAAAAUAAAAGUAAAUAGUAUGUGAUAGAUUCCCCAAAACAUAACAGUUUUAAACAUAAAAAUGCUAGGUUAACAUAUCAGGAGGCAACUGUCUUCAUUUAUACUGAAUUCUAGAAGAUGGUAAAAACUGCAACUAAUUCAUCAUGGAAAAUAAAAGUGCUAGCUGUCAUCUGAGCUGGUAACCAAAAAGAGGGUGAGAUGUCUAGCUAUGACAGACUUGGAGAGAAACUAGGCAGGCCAAAGACAGUAAGGAAAAAAUCAUAUUACUGGAAUAUAGUGACUUUCCAAUGAUCUAUAAUCUAAGAUGACACUUCCUUCAGGAGCUUCCAAAAGAGGCACAGGCCAAUGGAACAGACUGGUUGGGGGCUGUGGGGAGGGGUAGUUAUCAUGAGCUCCAGACACCCCUGAUGUUGUAGCCAAAAGCACAAUGUGAUGGAAACACAGAAGUAAUGAAUCCCUCCAAAACCUUCUAGCAGCUGAGGGACUGACAGUUGCUCUUUUAAAAAAUGAGCUUAAUAAAUGACAGCAUUCUUUUUUAAACCUAGAAUCUGAUGGUUCCAACUCGGUACAGUCUGGAGGUUUGUAUACUGUCAUCCAUGAAACUCUAGAAACUGGGCUUGCCCCAGAGGCCACCUAAUACCCAGAUGUCUUAGGAAGAAAAGCCAGAUAGUUUGGCAAAAUGAAAACUCUUCACAGACCAGCACACAAUUAAAUAAUUCAUUUUUGUACAGAGUCCUCUCUGAAACUUGAUUAAGCAACUUUUCCCUCUAACAAUUAGACAAAUAUUCUAUGCAUAGAUUCAAUACUUCUCCAUAAGGAAGUUGGCCUUUAAAAAAAAAUCUAUUUUAAGCUAACAUAUUAGUUCUUUCAGUUUUAUAAAAUACUGGUUGUUCAACCCAUACCAAAAUGUUCUUAUAAGAUUUAGAUAAGAGGAUUUUUGUGAGUUGCUAUGUGUAGAUUCCUUCCAAUCAAUGACUCCUUGGUUGUCUUUCUAUUAGAGUUUUGUUCUUAGUCAAUAGUGGAGAUAAACUUCAUUCAGUAAAGCAGAUACUCAGCACACACACACACACACACACACACACACACACACACACACACACACACUUGAUUAUUAUACAAUUGGGAUUCCAAGACGUACACUCUCUUGCUUCUGCUUUCAAGGGAACUUAAACGCAUGCAUUUGCCAACUCCCUCAUUUGAAGGGCUGUGCAUGCACGUGUAAUGGGAACACAGCAAAGCCAGCAAAGGCUCCUUAGGGUGCUGUGGCUUCAAAUGGCAGCUUAGAAUUCUACAGGAAUGACAGAAGAAUGAAGGGGGAUCUCUGGUAUUGGGCAGGGUAUUCAAGGAUAUGGAGAAGAGCACCAUUUCUAGUAAGGCUUCAUAUUUCAUGCAUACCUCACCUGUGCAGGUAACAGGCAGGGGCUGGAGUGUCGCUCCAGAGGAAUGAAGGAAAAAUGGUGGAAAGCCAGUGCAUGGUGUAGAGUCUGGACAUGCAAGGUGGCUGAGAGAGAGGCACAGGGAGCUUCGACCCAGGAACACAGCCAGCUCAUGGUAGAGAACGAGGGCUAGUGUCACGCGGAGGAUGCCAGUCCCUUACAGAAGUCCAUACUCAUGAAACAGCAGUAUGGGCGAAAGGAGAAAACCAAUUCAACAAAUACUUUAGAUGUAGGAUAAUUAGAAACUGGAGACCCCCUACAAGUGGCAAGUGACUCUUUGCUGCCAGGAGCUGAGAAGUGAAACAGAACAGGAUGUGACAGAAAUGUCCUUAAGCUGCCUUGUCAUUUUGGGGUGUGUGUGUAAAUAUGUUUACUCGAUUUGUACAAAAAUAGUCCCAAACUUUUAAAGAUGCAAACACACCGUGAGCAUUUGUUUGCUGAAAUUUCAAUCCUUCUUGCCAAGAAAUCUAACUAAAAACAGAAAUAAUAUGAAAGCUGUGAAGGUGUGUCAAGGAAAAAAGGCCCAGGCAAACUGUUUAAUUUCCUAGGCCAUCCAUUUAUAAAGUCAGAAUUAUACCCAACUGCCUUUUUUUUUUUUUUUCAAAGAUUCUGCGUUUGGAAGGUUUUUUUUUUUUCAAGGACACUGCUUUUGAAAAUAGAUUUUAGCAAAGGGGAACAAAUGGUCCUGAGAAAAGAGAGGUGGGCUGUUGUUCACACUACAACAAAAGACAACAUUUACAUGAAAUGGACAAAGAACCGCAGCAUCUCCAGGCAGUGAGGGGACAGGUAGGAAGAAACUUUGCCAUAGCCACUUUGAAAAUCACUUGUGUCUUGUGUUGGAAGAAGCCGAGUCAUGGAAGAAGGCAUGGGGGGUGGCAUCAUACCUAGAAACUCAUCCGGCAACUUAUCUGACAGCCCAUAACAUCAAGCAGCCUUCCUCUAGUUCGCUCUGAGUGGGCAACUCAAGGCUGUGGACCCUUCCAGCCAGAGCCCUACAUAUGAGGGUUUAUUUAGCAUGUGUUUCCCUGGAUGUCAAAUUUGUCUCUUGGAGCCUCAGUAAUAAACAAAGUGACGAACACAACAGGUAAUGCACACCAAGCACGAGCACGACAGUGUGCUAAGCGCCUCCCGUGAAUCAUGCUCUGGAAUCUGCCAUCUGUGUGGGGAGCCACAGUCUGCAAAGCGUGGCUUAGCGUGGCUAGUGAGUCAGGCUCAGUACCCUGCCCCACAUUUUAUGCUGAGAAUGAGCCUUCUGGUUUGGGGCUUAGGAGCCAUGGUACCCCUGAAUUUCUAUUUGUUAUUGUUUCGUAAAUAAAGAGACUGAACACUGAGAACAAUCAGGUUCUUAGCCCUACAAGGCUGGCCAUUUUCAUGUCUCUAAAAUGGGGUGAUAUUUGGGUUAUAUCCAAAGCGAAGGGCUCACCCAUGGAAAUCUGAGGCACCAUGAAAGGGAUGCUCUGUAAGCCGACCAGUGGGCAGCCAGGAUGCCUGGAUUCUGAGGCAAGCUGUACAGCCUUAACUAGUUUUGUUCCUGUGUGUGCCUGUCUCCUCACUGGCACAAUGUCGAUAAUAACAACAAUCUCUUGGUUUGUUUAUUAACAGGAUUAAGUAAGUAUAUACUAGCAAAUAGCUUGGGACAGUGCCAGACACGAAGACUUCACUGUGUGUUUACGUAGUAGUAGUAGUAGUAGUAGUAGUAGUAGUACUAGUAGUACUAGUAGUAGUAGUAGUAAUAACAAGUGCACUGUAUUAACACUACUGUAUAUCUAAUGAUAACAAAGUCUUUGGCAUUUUUCAGUCAAAGAACUAAGUCAUGUACAUGGCCAUCACUCCCAGAUUACAUUCUCUCUCUCCUCUCUCUCUCUCCUCUCUCUCCUCUCUCCUCUCUCCUCUCUCCCCUCCCCUCCCCUCCCCUCUUCUCUCUUUCUCUCUCUCCCUCCAAACCCUUGUGUCAAGGGCUGACUUUCAAUAGAUCGCAGCGAGGGAGCUGCUCUGCUAAGUAUGAAACCCGGACCCAGAAGCAGGUCGUCUUCAAAUGGUUUAGCGCCAGGUUCCACAUGAACGUGCGUUCA